rnacentral:lncRNA from 1 species
GUUGGUGGCUCAAGGUUUCUAAUUCCAAAAGAGCAGACUGAGAAAUUACAGAAACUAAUUAGUGGAGUCAACGUGAUUGAAGUGCCAGGGGACUGAGUGUGAAGGAGCUUUGGAAUCUGGAGUCAAGGCUUCAAAAUCUGUUUGAAGUGCGCCACAAACAAGGAGGCAGCAAUUUACAGGAAAUGGAAAUGGCUCUUCAACAUUUGCUUAAAACCCAAAUGAUCCAGAAGAAUCAGACAGCCAAAAGCGCCAGCUCUGACCUUUUCUGACUGAAAUUGUAACACAUCAUCCUAAAAUAACGUGGGUGUGAUGGAGAAUCACCUGCCCUGGGAUGAGUGCUGCUACACAGGGAUCCCUAAAGAGCUCUGAGCAGCUACAAAUGGGUGACACCAACCUGGCAAACCGUCCUGGAAAAGCAGCAAUAAAUCCGUGUUUCCAACAGGGCUGCUUCUGGAAAUCUCUCCAGAUACAAAGGAGCAAGGGUGUGGUGAAAUUCUCACACGUGGUGCUGAGUAUGUGAAGAAUUUCUUUGGAUUGGAUUUCUUACUUUGGAAUAUUUUAUUCUCUUCAUGAAAUCUUUUGGAGUAUGGAUUUUUUACAAGGUAGUGACUGUAGUUGU